rnacentral:lncRNA from 1 species
GGACCGUAAAAGGUACUUUGAGCCGUUCAAUAAAUAGUUUGAGUGUUCAAGGACAACAACUCUGUAUAUAUUUUUUUAAUUUGAAGGGACAUUGGCCUCCCUUAGACAACCACACAGACGACGAGAUCACGUGCAAACGCACGACAUGCGGAAACUGUCCUGCUUUGAUGGUAGAAGAGUGUCUAUAUAGUGAAAAAAAUGGUGCAGCUGUGAAAGACAGUCUGUUGGAUUAGUGCUGUAACCCAGUGAUAAAACACAUCACUAUGAACUAAAAUUGCAAGUUUGAUACCCAUCAUUCAAAUAAGACCUACAAUAGCUGCCUCAUGGCCAAGCACAAGUGUUCACUUCUGGCACAAGUGUUCACAUCUGCAUUUGUGCAGCAAAUAAGCCCCAUAUUGUGUCAAUACCUGGAGAACAAGACUAGCACAGUUGAGGUAAUGAGUUUGGUCUGUUGACAAGGGGACUUGUUGUCCAUGGUGUAUAGGCAGAAGACAGUAGAUUUGAAGUUAUGAUGGCAAGUUGUCAGUUUCUUGUUAAGAAAAGUGUAAAGCUUUGACUGCCCAACACCAUUAGCAUGUUGAUUUUAUAUAUCCAGACCUCAUGGGGACCUUUUAUGUGAUUUGUGUCUCAAAAUCAUAUGCGGUGAAGAUGUAAAAUGGUGUAGCAAACAGAAUUGCUCUUGUUUCACCUGCCAGCAAAAAUACUGAUGAAACACAGGUGGUUUCAUUAUAAUGCUUUUCAGCAGGUCUGCAGUUUUCUGUUUCUGCCAAUCAAUGCUUUAUCACCCCUAUCAAAACACAGAACAUGCAAAAAAAACACAUGACAGCAGCAGUCAUUCAGGCAGACUGUAUCGGGUAUGGAAACGCAAACAGUUUACACUAGAGUGCUGUGCCAAGACAUGUGAUAUCAACUACAUUGUAAGAAGUGUGUCAAGUCCUUGGGUACUUACUGCAGGUGUGUGUCAAGUCAUGGGUUACCAACUGCAUUGUAGAUAAAGUGACAAGUCUUUGAAUAACAACUGCAGUGAUGUGCAAAGUCUUUGGAUCUUUAUCAAACUUGGACUGAUGAGUUUUUGUCAGCAGCAGACUGCCAUAUCAUGAUAUAUAUCUGGCCUAUCAUUUAGCAGUUUAGUACUGAAGAUAGGUUGAAGUUUCUUUGAAACUUGACUCCGCUUCUUAGAGUCAGCUGUACUGCCAUAAUGAAGUGCUGUGAGCAUGAAUAUAGAGAUGAAGGAGAUUUAACCAUGAAGGAGAUCACCUUUAAUGCCGAGUACAAGAUAACGAAGCUAGCGGGGCCAAUCCAAAAUAAACAAUCAUAAAGGACAAAACUAUAAAAGAUUUCCUUGGUGGGAAGGUUAAGUGUGUACCAUACAAAUAUCACAGGUUACAAGAAAGUGUAGAUUUGUGCUUCAGUUAUCAAUUGAGCCUUCAGAAACUUGAGGAUGGCAGAAAAAUUUGUGCAGAGAGCAAAAUUUGAGAGACAUCAAA